rnacentral:rRNA from 1 species
AACGAACGCUGGCGGCAUGCCUAACACAUGCAAGUCGAACGAGACCUUCGGGUCUAGUGGCGCACGGGUGCGUAACGCGUCGGAACCUGCCCUUAGGUUCGGAAUAACUCCCCGAAAGGGGUGCUAAUACCGGAUAAUGUCUUCGGACCAAAGAUUUAUCGCCUUUGGAUGGGCCCGCGUUGGAUUAGCUAUUUGGUAGGGUAAAAGCCUACCAAGGCGACGAUCCAUAGCUGGUCUGAGAGGAUGAUCAGCCACACUGGGACUGGGACACGGCCCAGACUCCUACGGGAGGCAGCAGUGGGGAAUAUUGGACGAUGGGCGAAAGCCUGAUCCAGCAAUGCCGCGUGAGUGAUGAAGGCCUUAGGGUUGUAAAGCACUUUUACCCGGGAUGAUAAUGACAGUACCGGGAGAAUAAGCUCCGGCUAACUCCGUG